GGAGUAGUCGCGGUAGGUCUAACAGACUCCGCGUACCGAACUUUCUCGGUUCUUCUCACAUUUGAUCCCCCACCGCUUAGCGCAUCUAUAUGUAUCUUACCGAUUUGUUAGGUAGUUCGAUGUUCCAAGUGUUGGUGAAUGGUCGUGCAACUCGUUACCUGUCAAAUGUCAUCUCGAGUCUCCUAGGGUUCACGCGACUACUUGUGUUUUACUUUUUUCAAGUGAUUACUGUUGAAAGUGGACUACGAAAAGGAGCAGCAAAGAUUGAUGCGUCCCUGGGAAGAAGUUGACCCUGAUGAGACGCUAAUUAAUUCAGAUCAAGAUGAGGAUGUUGUGGAAUAUAGAUCUGAAGGAAGUGAUACCGUUCAAGAAGAUGACUCCUCUGACGAUGACAGAAGUCCCGUUAGAACAACAGCUAAAAUUUCAAGAGCUGGAUUUUAAUUGGGCAAAAACAAUGCCACAAAAUGGAACAAGCAUGCUCUAAACCACGCAGUGAUAACUCGAUCCUGAAAUAUAAUAAGUCAACUUCCUGGUACAAAAGGUAUCGCUAAACAGGCAAAAAGUCCUUUGGGGUGCUGGAAUCUCUUCAUCAACGAUGAAAUACUCGAUAUCAAUGUAGAGCUUACAAAUUUCUACAUAGCAACAAAAACUCCUCAGAAUUACAAAAGGGAUAGGGACUGCAUUUUAUCGGCAACAGAUGAAAUUGAAAUAAAAGCCCUUAUUGGUUUACUAUACUUGUCAGGUUUACUGAAAAUCUCCGAGUUGAGCAUUGACGAGAUAUGAGACAGAAAAAGAACCGGAGUAGAAAUGUUCUGGCUCACAAUGAGUAAGCAGCGAUUUCUAUUUCUCUUGAAGCAUUUAGGUGUUGACGAUCGUACUACCAGAGAAGAGAGAAAGAAAACAGAUAAACUAGCGCCGAUUUGAGAAGUCUUUGACUUCUUUACAUCUAAUUUUCGAAACGAAUGCGGAUUUAGACAAUAUAUACCUUCUAAGCCAAACAAGUAUGGGGUAAACGUUUUCUCAUUGGUCGAUUCAAAAAUGUUUUAUACUUUGAGUCUUGAAUUAUAUGUUGGACAACAACCUAGCGGUCCUUUCCAAACAAGCAAUGACGCAUUUCCGGAACAUCAAGAAACCUCACCACUGAUAAUUGGUUUACCUCUGUGCCAUUCGUCGAGCAUUUGCUGAGAGACCAUAAGCUGACUCUUGUCGGAACGAUUUGGAAAAAUAAAAGGGAAAUACCUAAGGAGUUUGUAGAGGUCAAACAUCGUCCAAUAACAUCAAGCCGGCUUGGAUUUGUUUGCACAAUGGCGACUCUAUUGACCCCGUUUCUGGUGAUAAAAACAAACCUGAGAUUAUAACUUCCUAUAAUGGAACGAAAGGAGACGGCGACCAGCUUUGUUCACUGUAUGAUGUUGCACGAAUUACCAGACGCUGGCCCAUGGUUAUUUUUUUUUCAUGCUGUUCAAAAGAGCAUUGCAGAGAGAAACAGUCAGGUUGUCCAUGUUUCUAUUCACCCUGAUCCGAAAUCCGACUAGAAACGGAGAAUAUUUCUAAAGCAAAUAGCACUGACGUUGAUUGAUAAACCUCUGCAAAGACGCUCUUAUCAGAAAAAUGAACCGGAAACCGUCCGUCAAACGCGACAAGAUCUAGCAGGAACCUCUGAGGCUAUAUCCGACGUAAAAGAGAUACCAGAAGGCACUCGAAAAUAUUGUUGGAGGUGUAAAAAUAAAAAUAAGCCUAGGUUCUAUUGUCAGAAAUGUAAAUCUUUUGUUUGUUUGAAGCACGCGAAAAUGUUGUUCUUUCCGUGCACAAAUGCCAUCAU